UCAAAUUUAUAAACUAACACAUAGCGAACCUGGUAUUUCAUACAUUCUAAAUUAUACACUACUAGAAUUUUUUCAUAUUUUAUGAAAGUUUCUUGCAAAUUUGAUAUAAAACUUAAGAUUUUUUUGUCAUUUUUCCUAAGAAAUUUAUUUGGCAGAUAAUUUAUUGGUAAUAACUAUUGUAAAACCUGAGAAAAAUAAAAAAUGUUUGGAAUGUAUACGUGGCAG
rnacentral:lncRNA from 1 species